UACGGAGGAUGCGAGCGUUAUCCGGAUUUAUUGGGUUUAAAGGGUGCGCAGGCGGUCUGUUAAGUCAGCGGUCAAAGCCCGGGGCUCAACCCCGGCCCGCCGUUGAAACUGCCAGGCUAGAGUGUCGGAGAGGUAAGUGGAAUUCCUAGUGUAGCGGUGAAAUGCGUAGAUAUUAGGAGGAACACCAGUGGCGAAGGCGGCUUACUGGACGAUGACUGACGCUGAGGCUCGAAAGCGUGGGGAGCAAACAGG
rnacentral:rRNA from 1 species